AUAAAAAAUUUAUCACCACACACCCAAACAUCGAUCUAUCCAUUCAUCUCCACAAAAAAUUAUUCGUCAUUUUUUCCCCAACAACCCUAAAAUUUUCCACUCUAUCCAAUUUCGUCCACCGCCGCGGCAGAGGAAUGCUGGAUCAGAAGUAAAUCAACAAUGCGUUGGACAAGAACUUGGAGAAGUAUUCACCUUCUGCAUCCAAACUCAAGGGUUCCGCCGUCGUCGCCUUGCCCUCCACCUCAGCUACUAGGAAACAUGUCGAUCCCCUAGAUAAUCACUCUUCCUCCAACUUCACUUGCAACAAAAGCAAGCUGUCUGAAGUUGCUUUCUUAGUACUUAAAAUUCGCACAGGAGAACAAUGAUUCAGUUGAUAAUCUAAUGUGAAAUUACUGCGACAACCAUGGUCACGGCGGCAUCGAAAAGCUAAUAUGUUGGAAGGAGCAACAUAUUUUUCCUAAUGGAUCAAUCUUUGAUCUUCGAGCUUGACAAAUCGGAAUAUUUGAACUCCACCGCUAUCGUGCACUCGCCAGAUGUGCACAAAUCGAGCUCUAGAGUCUUCAAGAAGGCAUCGGCGAGAGGAGUAAGUUAUUGCCGCUCCGUCUUCGAAGAUACUUAAGAAUGAGUAACGAGAGAAUGGCCACGGCAGACAGUAGUUGGAAAUUGGAUUCCGCCGCUCGAGUUCCUGGCAAGAUAGAUGGCGGCCGCGUUUAUAUGGAACAAGGGAAAUUUUAGGGGACAGUGGACGAAAUGGGAGAUUUAGGGAUAGAUUGAGAAUUUUAAGGUUCUUGGGGAAGAAAAACCAAUAAUUUGUGGUUAGGAUGGAUGUAUAGAUCGAUACAGUGGUGUGUGGAGAUAAUUUUUUUGUUUAUUUCAAUUUGAUGUAGUUAGACCUAAACAGAAAUUAGUUUUUUGCAAUUUAAUUCAAUCUGGCCAA